rnacentral:rRNA from 1 species
CACGUAGGGCGCAAGCGUUGUCCGGAAUUAUUGGGCGUAAAGAGCUCGUAGGCGGCCUGUCGCGUCCGCUGUGAAAUCCCGGGGCUUAACCCCGGGCGUGCAGUGGAUACGGGCUGGCUAGAGGCAGGCAGGGGAGAACGGAAUUCCCGGUGUAGCGGUGAAAUGCGCAGAUAUCUGGAGGAACACCGGUGGCGAAGGCGGCGUCCUGGACCAACACUGACACUGAUGAGCGAAAGCCAGGGGAGCAAACGGG